AGUGAACGCUGGCGGUAGGCCUAACACAUGCCAGUCGAACGGCAGCACAGUAAGAGCUUGCUCUUACGGGUGGCGAGUGGCGGACGGGUGAGGAAUACAUCGGAAUCUACUUUUUCGUGGGGGAUAACGUAGGGAAACUUACGCUAAUACCGCAUACGACCUACGGGUGAAAGCAGGGGAUCUUCGGACCUUGCGCGAUUGAAUGAGCCGAUGUCGGAUUAGCUGGUUGGCGGGGUAAAGGCCCACCAAGGCGACGAUCCGUAGCUGGUCUGAGAGGAUGAUCAGCCAAACUGGAACUGAGACACGGUCCAGACUCCUACGGGAGGCAGCAGUGGGGAAUAUUGGACAAUGGGCGCAAGCCUGAUCCAGCCAUACCGCGUGGGUGAAGAAGGCCUUCGGGUUGUAAAGCCCUUUUGUUGGGAAAGAAAAGCAGCAGGUUAAUACCCCGCUGUUCUGACGGUACCCAAAGAAUAAGCACCGGCUAACUUCGUG
rnacentral:rRNA from 1 species